UGUUUUGGAGAAAAUUGGGGUCAUGUUUGCAGUAACUGCAUAAGGUUACUGUGAAACCAAGGUAAAUAAAAGCCAUUUUUCUCAGUUACUCGCUAUGAGCAGUUACUGCCUUUUUGCUUGUUUGGGCAGUAUAAUGGUCCGCUAAUACAGAACUAGCAAAGCACAGUGCACUACUUUUUUUUUCAUUUCUUAUUUUAAUUUUAUUUUAGGUGGUAGUGCAGUUUCUCUCAGCACACCUACUUCCUGCGGCUAUGCAUACGUGGGUGCUCUCCCUUUUGGCACAGGCUUAUCAUUGGAAUGUGUGCCUUAUCAACUUUAAAUGGGAGUUUCUGUGCUGAUCAUGCGUAACGGGGAAUCAGGGUUAGAUUUCGCAGUGGCUACCAGAUCCAAGGGAGGCAGCAGGCGCGCAAAUGAUCCACUCCCGCUUCGGGGAGGUAGUGGCGAAAAAUAACAAAACAGGACUCUUUUGUGUCCCUGAGAUUGGAAUGAGUAGGCUUCACUUCAAAUCCUUUAAUGAGGACCCAUUACGAAU
rnacentral:ncRNA from 1 species